rnacentral:tRNA from 1 species
GGCCCGUUGGUCAAGCGGUUAAGACACCGCCCUUUCACGGCGGUAACACGUCUGAAUCCCGUACGGGUCACCA